UUGCUUGCAAUCCGCUGACGACCGGCGCACGGGUGCGUAACGCGUAUGCAACCUACCUUCUACAGGGGGAUAGUCAAUAGAAAUGUUGAAUAAUACCCCAUACGAUCUUUGAAUAGCAUUAUUUAAAGAAGAAAGCUCCGGCGGUAGAAGAUGGGCAUGCGUCCUAUUAGUUAGUUGGUAAGGUAACGGCUUACCAAGACUUCGAUAGGUAGGGGUCCUGAGAGGGAGACCCCCCACACUGGUACUGAGACACGGACCAGACUCCUACGGGAGGCAGCAGUGAGGAAUAUUGGACAAUGGAGGCAACUCUGAUCCAGCCAUGCCGCGUGCAGGAAGACUGCCCUAUGGGUUGUAAACUGCUUUUAUACAGGAAGAAAUAUACCUACGUGUAGGUAUUUGACGGUACUGUACGAAUAAGGAUCGGCUAACUCCGUGCCAGCAGCCGCGGUAAUACGGAGGAUCCAAGCGUUAUCCGGAAUCAUUGGGUUUAAAGGGUCCGUAGGCGGUCUUUUAAGU
rnacentral:rRNA from 1 species